GGACCCGCACAAGUAGUGGAGCAUGUGGUUUAAUUCGAAGAUACGCGCAGAACCUUACCAACACUUGACAUGUUCGUCGCGACUCUAAGAGAUUAGAGUUUUCGGUUCGGCCGGACGAAACACAGGUGCUGCAUGGCUGUCGUCAGCUCGUGUCGUGAGAUGUUGGGUUAAGUCCCGCAACGAGCGCAACCCUCACUUUUAGUUGCCAUCAUUUAGUUGGGCACUCUGAAAGAACUGCCAGUGAUAAGCUGGAGGAAGGUGGGGAUGACGUCAAGUCCUCAUGGCCCUUACGUGUUGGGCUACACACGUGCUACAAUGGUAUUUACAACAGGAAGCAAGACUGCGAAGUUAAGCAAAUCCUUAAAAAAUACCUCAGUUCGGAUUGCACUCUGCAACUCGAGUGCAUGAAGCUGGAAUUACUAGUAAUCG
rnacentral:rRNA from 1 species